rnacentral:rRNA from 1 species
UGGAAACUGUNUGACUUGAGUGCAGAAGGGGAGAGUGGAAUUCCAUGUGUAGCGGUGAAAUGCGUAGAUAUAUGGAGGAACACCAGUGGCGAAAGCGGCUCUCUGGUCUGUCACUGACGCUGAGGCUCGAAAGCGUGGGUAGCGAACAGGAUUAGAUACCCUGGUAGUCCGCGCCGUAAACGAUGAGUGCUAGGUGUUAGGCCCUUUCCGGGGCUUAGUGCCGGAGCUAACGCAAUAAGCACUCCGCCUGGGGAGUACGACCGCAAGGUUGAAACUCAAAGGAAUUGACGGGGGCCCGCACAAGCGGUGGAGCAUGUGGUUUAAUUCGAAGCAACGCGAAGAACCUUACCAGGUCUUGACAUCCCGAUGCUAUUCUUAGAGAUAGGAAGUUACUUCGGUACAUCGGAGACAGGUGGUGCAUGGUUGUCGUCAGCUCGUGUCGUGAGAUGUUGGGUUAAGUCCCGCAACGAGCGCAACCCUUAUUGUUAGUUGCCAUCAUUAAGUUGGGCACUCUAGCGAGACUGCCGGUAAUAAACCGGAGGAAGGUGGGGAUGACGUCAAAUCAUCAUGCCCCUUAUGACCUGGGCUACACACGUGCUACAAUGGUCGGUACAACGAGUUGCGAGCCGGUGACGGCAAGCUAAUCUCUGAAAGCCGAUCUCAGUUCGGAUUGGAGGCUGCAACUCGCCUCCAUGAAGUCGGAAUCGCUAGUAAUCGCGGAUCAGCACGCCGCGGUGAAUACGUUCCCGGGCCUUGUACACACCGCCCGUCACACCACGAGAGUUUGUAACACCCGAAGUCGGUGAGGUAACCUUUUAGGGNCC